rnacentral:rRNA from 1 species
CACGAACCGGACAAACGUUAUUCGGAAUUAUUGGGCUUAAAGGGUGCGUAGGCGGUGCGGUAAGUGCGGUGUGAAAUCCCUCGGCUCAACCGAGGAAUUGCGCUGCAUACUGCCGUGCUGGAGGGAGACAGAGGUAAGCGGAACUGAUGGUGGAGCGGUGAAAUGCGUUGAUAUCAUCAGGAACACCAGUGGCGAAAGCGGCUUACUGGGUCUCUUCUGACGCUGAGGCACGAAAGCUAGGGUAGCGAACGGG